rnacentral:rRNA from 1 species
UACAGAGGUGGCAAGCGUUGUUCGGAAUUACUGGGCGUAAAGCGCACGUAGGCGGGUCGUUAAGUCAGGGGUGAAAUCCCAGAGCUCAACUCUGGAACUGCCUUUGAUACUGGCGACCUAGAGUCCGGAAGAGGUUAGUGGAAUUCCCAGUGUAGAGGUGAAAUUCGUAGAUAUUGGGAAGAACACCGGUGGCGAAGGCGGCUCACUGGCUCGUAUCUGACGCUCAGGCGCGAUAGCGUGGGGAUCAAACAGG